rnacentral:sRNA from 1 species
UCUGGCAUCGGUGGUUUUACUUCUUCGAUUGAACCCUGCUUCCUCGACCCCCCUGGGAGGCCGCCUUCUUCAGGCGCCUCCCUUCUCUCCACGAGCUCGCUCUGACAGCUGAGGAACUGGCAAGAUCCUGCUACCCAGAGGGUGAAUGGGUAUCUUUCCCGGAAUAAUCCUAAUUUUUCUAAGGGUGAAGUUUGCAACGGCGGCCGUGAUUGUAAGCGGACACCAGAAAAGUACCACUGUAAGUCAUGAGAUGUCUGGUCUGAAUUGGAAACCCUUUGUAUAUGGCGGCCUUGCCUCUAUCGUGGCUGAGUUUGGGACUUUCCCUGUGGACCUUACCAAAACACGACUUCAGGUUCAAGGCCAAAGCAUUGAUGCCCGUUUCAAAGAGAUAAAAUAUAGAGGGAUGUUCCAUGCGCUGUUUCGCAUCUGUAAAGAGGAAGGUGUAUUGGCUCUCUAUUCAGGAAUUGCUCCUGCGUUGCUAAGACAAGCAUCAUAUGGCACCAUUAAAAUUGGGAUUUACCAAAGCUUGAAGCGCUUAUUCGUAGAACGUUUAGAAGGCCUGGGGCUGUUGGAUGUUUGGGGACAGCUGGAAAGCCUUUCGAUGAAACUCUUUUAAUUAAUAUGAUCUGUGGGGUAGUGUCAGGAGUGAUAUCUUCCACUAUAGCCAAUCCCACCGAUGUUCUAAAGAUUCGAAUGCAGGCUCAAGGAAGCUUGUUCCAAGGGAGCAUGAUUGGAAGCUUUAUCGAUAUAUACCAACAAGAAGGCACCAGGGGUCUGUGGAGGGGUGUGGUUCCAACUGCUCAGCGUGCUGCCAUCGUUGUGGGAGUAGAGCUACCAGUCUAUGAUAUUACUAAGAAGCAUUUAAUAUUGUCAGGAAUGAUGGGCGAUACAAUUUUAACUCACUUCGUUUCCAGCUUUACAUGUGGUUUGGCUGGGGCUCUGGCCUCCAACCCGGUUGAUGUGGUUCGAACUCGCAUGAUGAACCAGAGGGCAAUCGUGGGACAUGUGGAUCUCUAUAAGGGCACUGUUGAUGGUAUUUUAAA